UUGAUCCUGGCUCAGAUUGAACGCUGGCGGCAUGCCUUACACAUGCAAGUCGAACGGCAGCACGGGGGCAACCCUGGUGGCGAGUGGCGAACGGGUGAGUAAUACAUCGGAACGUGUCCUGUAGUGGGGGAUAGCCCGGCGAAAGCCGGAUUAAUACCGCAUACGCUCUACGGAGGAAAGGGGGGGAUCUUAGGACCUCCCGCUACAGGGGCGGCCGAUGGCAGAUUAGCUAGUUGGUGGGGUAAAGGCCUACCAAGGCGACGAUCUGUAGCUGGUCUGAGAGGACGACCAGCCACACUGGGACUGAGACACGGCCCAGACUCCUACGGGAGGCAGCAGUGGGGAAUUUUGGACAAUGGGCGAAAGCCUGAUCCAGCAAUGCCGCGUGUGUGAAGAAGGCUUCGGGUUGUAAAGCACUUUUGUCCGGAAAGAAAACCUCCGCCCUAAUAUGGUGGGGGGAUGACGGUACCGG
rnacentral:rRNA from 1 species